GAUGAACGCUGGCGGCGUGCUUAACACAUGCAAGUCGAACGGAACUACUCCAAUGAGAGUCUUCGGAAAGGAUUUGGUUUAGUUUAGUGGCGGACGGGUGAGUAACGCGUGGGUAACCUGCCCUAUACAGGGGGAUAACAGUUGGAAACGACUGUUAAUACCGCAUAAGCGCACAGGAGCGCAUGCUCCGGUGUGAAAAACUCCGGUGGUAUAGGAUGGACCCGCGUCUGAUUAGCUGGUUGGCGGGGUAACGGCCCACCAAGGCGACGAUCAGUAGCCGGGCUGAGAGGGUGAACGGACACUUUGGGAGUGAGACACGGCCCAAACUCCUACGGGAGGCAGCAGUGGGGAAUAUUGCACAAUGGGGGAAACCCUGAUGCAGCGACGCCGCGUGAGCGAAGAAGUAUCUCGGUAUGUAAAGCUCUAUCAGCAGGGAAGAAAAUGACGGUACCUGACUAAGAAGCCCCGGCUAACUACGUG
rnacentral:rRNA from 1 species